GAUUUCUGGUUUGAUGUGCCUGUCCCGCCACGGUAACGUGCGUGAGUGACGGCGUAUGUCUGCCAUCCUUCUAGAUUCGGCAGGCUACUCUUUACUGAGCUGGUCUGUCUGUUCUAGAUCUUUUACUUUGAAAAAAUUAGAGUGUUUCAAGCAGGCUUUUGCUAUGAAUACAUUAGCAUGGAAUAAUGAGUUAGGACUUCGGUUCUAUUUUGUUGGUUUCUAGGACUGAAGUAAUGAUUGAUAGGGACAGUUGGGGGUGCUAGUAUUCAGUGCGAAGAGGUGAAAUUCUUGGAUCCACUGAAGACUAACUUAUGCGAAAGCAUU
rnacentral:rRNA from 1 species